AUUUAAAAAUAUGUUAAUUGCUCCGAUAUUUUAUGCAAAUAUUAAAAACAAACAAGUUAGAUUCUCAAUGAAAUAACGAGGGGAUUGUUCAAUAUGCCCACAAUCUAAUUUGUGAUUUCCAACAACACAUUUCGCAAUGUCAACAAUCUAAUUUGAAUUUUCCCGCGACUUUGAACGGAUAUUUUUUGUGACUACAGUCUCUUAGGUCAGCAGUAAAGGCCAUGGUAACAUAGCAACAGCUUUCAAGAGCUUUCGAGCAACAACAAUGGCGGAAAGAUCAUGAAACACUAGUCAUGAAAUGAAUACCGGCGAAAAUGACAACUAUAUUUUGAAAUUUUG